rnacentral:rRNA from 1 species
AGCGUACACGGUGGAUGCCCUGGCAGUCAGAGGCGAUGAAGGACGUGCUAAUCUGCGAUAAGCGUCGGUAAGGUGAUAUGAACCGUUAUAACCGGCGAUUUCCGAAUGGGGAAACCCAGUGUGAUUCGUCACACUAUCAUUAACUGAAUCCAUAGGUUAAUGAGGCGAACCGGGGGAACUGAAACAUCUAAGUACCCCGAGGAAAAGAAAUCAACCGAGAUUCCCCCAGUAGCGGCGAGCGAACGGGGAGCAGCCCAGAGCCUGAAUCAGUGUGUGUGUUAGUGGAAGCGUCUGGAAAGGCGCGCGAUACAGGGUGACAGCCCCGUACACAAAAAUGCACAUACUGUGAGCUCGAUGAGUAGGGCGGGACACGUGGUAUCCUGUCUGAAUAUGGGGGGACCAUCCUCCAAGGCUAAAUACUCCUGACUGACCGAUAGUGAACCAGUACCGUGAGGGAAAGGCGAAAAGAACCCCGGCGAGGGGAGUGAAAAAGAACCUGAAACCGUGUACGUACAAGCAGUGGGAGCACGCUUAGGCGUGUGACUGCGUACCUUUUGUAUAAUGGGUCAGCGACUUAUAUUCUGUAGCAAGGUUAACCGAAUAGGGGAGCCGAAGGGAAACCGAGUCUUAACUGGGCGUUAAGUUGCAGGGUAUAGACCCGAAACCCGGUGAUCUAGCCAUGGGCAGGUUGAAGGUUGGGUAACACUAACUGGAGGACCGAACCGACUAAUGUUGAAAAAUUAGCGGAUGACUUGUGGCUGGGGGUGAAAGGCCAAUCAAACCGGGAGAUAGCUGGUUCUCCCCGAAAGCUAUUUAGGUAGCGCCUCGUGAAUUCAUCUCCGGGGGUAGAGCACUGUUUCGGCAAGGGGGUCAUCCCGACUUACCAACCCGAUGCAAACUGCGAAUACCGGAGAAUGUUAUCACGGGAGACACACGGCGGGUGCUAACGUCCGUCGUGAAGAGGGAAACAACCCAGACCGCCAGCUAAGGUCCCAAAGUCAUGGUUAAGUGGGAAACGAUGUGGGAAGGCCCAGACAGCCAGGAUGUUGGCUUAGAAGCAGCCAUCAUUUAAAGAAAGCGUAAUAGCUCACUGGUCGAGUCGGCCUGCGCGGAAGAUGUAACGGGGCUAAACCAUGCACCGAAGCUGCGGCAGCGACGCUUAUGCGUUGUUGGGUAGGGGAGCGUUCUGUAAGCCUGUGAAGGUGUACUGUGAGGUAUGCUGGAGGUAUCAGAAGUGCGAAUGCUGACAUAAGUAACGAUAAAGCGGGUGAAAAGCCCGCUCGCCGGAAGACCAAGGGUUCCUGUCCAACGUUAAUCGGGGCAGGGUGAGUCGACCCCUAAGGCGAGGCCGAAAGGCGUAGUCGAUGGGAAACAGGUUAAUAUUCCUGUACUUGGUGUUACUGCGAAGGGGGGACGGAGAAGGCUAUGUUGGCCGGGCGACGGUUGUCCCGGUUUAAGCGUGUAGGCUGGUUUUCCAGGCAAAUCCGGAAAAUCAAGGCUGAGGCGUGAUGACGAGGCACUACGGUGCUGAAGCAACAAAUGCCCUGCUUCCAGGAAAAGCCUCUAAGCAUCAGGUAACAUCAAAUCGUACCCCAAACCGACACAGGUGGUCAGGUAGAGAAUACCAAGGCGCUUGAGAGAACUCGGGUGAAGGAACUAGGCAAAAUGGUGCCGUAACUUCGGGAGAAGGCACGCUGAUAUGUAGGUGAAGUCCCUCGCGGAUGGAGCUGAAAUCAGUCGAAGAUACCAGCUGGCUGCAACUGUUUAUUAAAAACACAGCACUGUGCAAACACGAAAGUGGACGUAUACGGUGUGACGCCUGCCCGGUGCCGGAAGGUUAAUUGAUGGGGUUAGCGCAAGCGAAGCUCUUGAUCGAAGCCCCGGUAAACGGCGGCCGUAACUAUAACGGUCCUAAGGUAGCGAAAUUCCUUGUCGGGUAAGUUCCGACCUGCACGAAUGGCGUAAUGAUGGCCAGGCUGUCUCCACCCGAGACUCAGUGAAAUUGAACUCGCUGUGAAGAUGCAGUGUACCCGCGGCAAGACGGAAAGACCCCGUGAACCUUUACUAUAGCUUGACACUGAACAUUGAGCCUUGAUGUGUAGGAUAGGUGGGAGGCUUUGAAGUGUGGACGCCAGUCUGCAUGGAGCCGACCUUGAAAUACCACCCUUUAAUGUUUGAUGUUCUAACGUUGACCCGUAAUCCGGGUUGCGGACAGUGUCUGGUGGGUAGUUUGACUGGGGCGGUCUCCUCCUAAAGAGUAACGGAGGAGCACGAAGGUUGGCUAAUCCUGGUCGGACAUCAGGAGGUUAGUGCAAUGGCAUAAGCCAGCUUGACUGCGAGCGUGACGGCGCGAGCAGGUGCGAAAGCAGGUCAUAGUGAUCCGGUGGUUCUGAAUGGAAGGGCCAUCGCUCAACGGAUAAAAGGUACUCCGGGGAUAACAGGCUGAUACCGCCCAAGAGUUCAUAUCGACGGCGGUGUUUGGCACCUCGAUGUCGGCUCAUCACAUCCUGGGGCUGAAGUAGGUCCCAAGGGUAUGGCUGUUCGCCAUUUAAAGUGGUACGCGAGCUGGGUUUAGAACGUCGUGAGACAGUUCGGUCCCUAUCUGCCGUGGGCGCUGGAGAACUGAGGGGGGCUGCUCCUAGUACGAGAGGACCGGAGUGGACGCAUCACUGGUGUUCGGGUUGUCAUGCCAAUGGCACUGCCCGGUAGCUAAAUGCGGAAGAGAUAAGUGCUGAAAGCAUCUAAGCACGAAACUUGCCCCGAGAUGAGUUCU